GCAUGCUUUUGCAAUGCCUCCAUGAUGUUCAUGAAUGGAUAGAUUAGGGUUGGAGUUUUGGGAGGGAGAGAAGGUAGGAAGGAGAGGAAGAAGAAGAAGAAGAGAGAGGACGAUGUUCGUUGCACAGUUUUGUUUUUGAAAAGUACCUUUUCAGGAUAGAGAGAGUGUGUGAGAGUGAGAGUAGGAGUAAGAGGAGGAGGACGGCGAGGGUGGUAGUGGUGGCAGAGUGGUGGUAGGACGAACGGGCCUUCCGACUUGAAUUUUACGGACUCUGUCUGACCCGGGCAUGCUCCGCCUAUUCCUCCGAAGCAUUUAGUGCCGACCUCGCGGUCUGUGUCCCCGAUUGUUUAUCAUUGCUGUUGCUGCUCAGGAGGAAGAGGAGGAGUAGGAGCAGGAGGAGGAGUGUAAUCCUUCUGUGGUCGAGCUUCUUCUUACCGACCUGCUGGUCAUUCUAUGUACUGCGAGAACAGACACCUUGAAGUAGUAUCGUUCAAUCGUCAUUCUUUCGCUCUUUGGCGUGCUCCGACUCUCCGAGCUUUUCCGUUGGCAGGAGUUUUUGUUCUCCGCUAACCGCGAUAGGACACUCGCGUCUGUCGUGCUGUUAGCAGUAGGACUUUUUGUUUUUUUUGUUUUUUGUUUUUUGUUUUUUUUUUUGUUUUUCCCCCAAUUUGAGCAAGGGUUCACUGUUGCGGAUCUGGAUGAAUGUGCGGGAGGCGUUUGAGAUUCUUUUGGUGGGCAUCAGAGGUGUUUGUUUAGGGCUGAGAGGGUUUUAGAGGCUCGCACUGUGCUUGUAUUUCAGAGAUUGCGGGUUUGCUGUGAUAUCUACCCGUGGUUUAGUGCCGUAGAAUGAGUACCCCUGUUGGCAGUGCUCCCUGCUCCAGUGUUUAGGACUUAAUCUUUACACUAACGCUUGGAAGAGUGUGCUUUGAUGGAUAACUCGCCUGUACCGGGAGAUGAACGCAUGGAGACCAAAUCUUAUCCUGAAAGCGAAAGAAAAGGACACAAGAGGAAACUGGCGGACGCGUAUUUACGGUUUCCUGCUGCAGAUGAACCUAACAAUGCGUUUUCAAUCGGUGUUCGAGACCAAGUAGAGAUUCUAAGGACUUGCGUUUCUUGGAAAGAGAAUGACCGAAUUGCAGCGCGGCGUGCCGCUCAUAGUCUCGCGGAGCUUGCGAAGCGGGAAGAUCACGUGGACGCUAUUGUGGAGGAAGGAGCUGUGGAUGCGCUUGUUGCACAUCUCUGUCCGCCUAGUCUUGGAGAAGGCGAAGGUCCCGUUGCUUGUGAACACGAAGUCGAGAAGGAUGCUGCAUUUGCAUUAGGAUUGCUUGCUGUGAAGCCAGAGUAUCAACGGCGAAUUGCUGAUGCUGGCGCUCUGCCGUUGCUGGUGGCUUUAUUAUUGCGUCAAGGUGGUGGCAACAGCGGACGAGUUGUAAAUGGUGUCGUCCGACGUGCUGCAGAUGCUAUAACGAACCUUGCACACGAAAAUGCACAUAUUAAGACUCGUGUCAGAACGGAAGGUGGGAUUCCUCCUCUAGUCAAACUUUUAGAAUCUAAUGACGCUAAGGUUCAACGGGCCGCAGCUGGUGCGUUGCGUACUUUGGCCUUCAAGAAUGAGGCCAACAAAAAUCAGAUUGUGGAAGGAAAUGCGCUUCCUACCCUUAUUCUAAUGUUACGUUCAGAAGACGUUGGAAUUCAUUAUGAGGCCGUUGGUGUAAUUGGCAAUCUUGUCCACUCUUCUGUCAAUAUUAAGAAAGAAGUCCUGGCAGCAGGGGCUCUCCAGCCUGUCAUCGGCCUUUUGAGUUCAAGAUGCCAGGAAAGUCAGCGCGAGGCUGCUCUUUUAUUAGGACAGUUUGCAACAACCGACCCCGACUGUAAGGUUCAUAUAGUUCAACGGGGUGCCGUGCGACCGCUGAUCAGGAUGCUGGAAGCUACUGAUACUCAACUCCGAGAGAUGGCGGCCUUCGCUUUAGGCCGGCUUGCUCAGUCUUCGCAGAACACCCAUAAUCAAGCUGGAAUUGUACACGACGGUGGGCUAAGGCCUUUGCUGGAGCUUCUGGACUCUAAAAAUGGAUCUCUACAGCAUAAUGCAGCUUUCGCAUUGUACGGCUUGGCUGACAAUGAGGAUAACGUCUCUGAUAUAGUUAGUGAAGGUGGUGUACAAAGAUUGUACGACGGCUAUUUUAUCGUGCAGGACAUGAUUUUCUCAAUAAUAUCAAGCAGUCUGAAAGUUGGCUUGUUCAUGUAUAAUACCAUUCAGGCUUCGAAAGACUGUGUACAGAAAACCUUAAAAAGGCUGGAAGAGAAGAUUCAUGGGCGGGUGUUGAAGCACCUACUAUACCUUCUACGUACAGCUGACAAGGUGGUGCAAAGAAGGGUUGCCACUACGCUUGCUCAUUUUUGCUGCCCUGAUGAUCAACGCCUUAUCUUUAUUGAGAACAAUGGCAUGGAUGUUCUCUUAGAGAUGCUGAAUGGGUUCGCUACCCCCAAACUUCAACGGGAUGGUGCUCUUGCCCUAUGUACAUUAGCUAGAAAGGCAAAUGCACUGGCUCCUAUUGAUGCUGCCCCGCUUCCUCCUACACCCCAGGUUUACCUUGGUGAACAGUAUGUAAACAGCAGCACACUUUCUGACGUGACAUUUCUUGUAGAAGGUGGAUUUUUCACACAUGCAUACAUCAAUGCAGACGCUUUUACGCCCACCGAAUAGCGUUGUUAGCAUCCUCCGAUGCAUUCCGUGCUAUGUUCGAUGGUGGCUACAAGGAGAAAGAAGCGCUGGAUAUCGAGAUUCCAAACAUCAGUUGGAAGGUGUUUGAGCUGAUGAUGAGGUUUAUCUACACAGGUAAUGUGGAAGUGGCUUCUGAUAAUGCUCAAGAUUUAUUGAGGGCUGCUGAUCAAUAUCUGUUAGAAGGAUUGAAGCGCCUGUGUGAGUAUUCUAUAGCUCAGAACUUGACACUUGAGACUGUGAUGAAUGUGUUCGACUUGGCGGAGGCAUACCAUGCUUUAUCACUGAGAGAUACCUGUGUUUUGUUCAUUUUGAAACACCAUGAGCAAAUGUGCGGCAUGACAGGGUAUCCAGCUCUCCUUCAUCGCAUUUCAUCAGAGAUCCGAGAAUACUUGCGUCGAAUCCUGCGUCCUCAACCCGCAACGAUUCAGUGAUUGCUAUUCCUUACUAAAAUAUGAUUUCAGUCACUCAACCCUCUAGUAUGCUUUGGCAUUUCCGAAUGGAUUAGCAACUAAGAUAGUCUACCUUUGCUUUAUAACACCCAGCAGGCAAUCGCUGGAACAUGACCCUGCUAGACUAGAGUAAUUGAUCUGGCUUCAGCUAUUCGCUUGUCGUGCAGGGUGCCAGCUCUCUAUUUUCCCUGUUUCAGCAGGAAUCGGGGUUGGCGCAUCCUAGUCAAGUCAAGCUAAGUGUUCAACCUCGCUCUUCGUACAUUUGUAGGAUUUGAACCUGCGACUGUGGAGGUCACACUAGCUUGCCUGCUUAGUUGUCAUUCUCGAGGCGUGGGUUGCGGGAUUUUUGAAGUAUCCAUAUAAUAUGAAAGCUAUUUCAUUCAGAAUGCGAAUUUACUGAUGCUAACACUCUGGGUGAACGGCUUGGCAAAAUUUGCUAAUUGCAAGACGUAUGAGAUUGGAGGUGACAACACCUUGAAAUCUGCUUUACAUGUAA